rnacentral:SRP_RNA from 2 species
GCUGGGUGUGGUGGUGCACACCUGUAGUCCCAGUUACUUGGGAGGCUGAAGUGGGAGGAUCACUUGAGCCCAGGAGUUUGAGGUUAUAGUGAGCUAUGAUUAUACCACUGUACUCCAGCCUGGGUGACAGAGUGAGACCCUGUCUCAA